rnacentral:rRNA from 1 species
AUGCGCACUAACUUCUCCAAGUGCGCGACAUCCCCCAUCCAGUGCACGGCUGACGACCGCGCCGCGAUCGCGUCCAGCUUCGCGUGCCCGGUCAAGGACUUCCCCACCACUUAUCUCGGCUUGCCCCUGUCCAUCCGGAAGGUCAGCACUGCAACCCUUCAACCUCUCCUCGACAAGCUCGAGCGUCGGCUCUCGCCAUGGUGGGCAUCCAUGAUGUCGCGUGGCGACCGUCUCGCCCUUUGCCGCCACGUCUUGUCCGCAAUGCCGGUGCAUACUCUCAUCGCGCUGGCGAUCAACCCCACCGUCCUCAAGCAAAUCAACCGCCUGCUGCGAAGUUUCCUUUGGUACGGGCGCAAGGACGCGAGCGGCAGUCACUGCCUUGUCAGCUGGCGUCACGCAUGCCGGCCCAUCGCUCCGGGCGGCCUGGGCAUCCCCGAUCUCCAGCGCAUGGGCACUUCUCUCCGCACCCGCUGGCUUUGGCUCCAAAUAACAGACCCCUCCCGCCCUUGGCAGCAUCUGCAUAUCCCCCAUUGCCCUGACGUCCAAGCCUUCUUUCCAGUGGCGGAGCCACCUCCCGGCUACCCGGGGCAGCUGCCCGGACUCAGCCAUGCACUCUAG